UUGAUGUUCUAACGUGGACCCGUAAUCCGGGUUGCGGACAGUGUCUGGUGGGUAGUUUGACUGGGGCGGUCUCCUCCUAAAGAGUAACGGAGGAGCACGAAGGUUGGCUAAUCCUGGUCGGACAUCAGGAGGUUAGUGCAAUGGCAUAAGCCAGCUUGACUGCGAGCGUGACGGCGCGAGCAGGUGCGAAAGCAGGUCAUAGUGAUCCGGUGGUUCUGAAUGGAAGGGCCAUCGCUCAACGGAUAAAAGGUACUCCGGGGAUAACAGGCUGAUACCGCCCAAGAGUUCAUAUCGACGGCGGUGUUUGGCACCUCGAUGUCGGCUCAUCACAUCCUGGGGCUGAAGUAGGUCCCAAGGGUAUGGCUGUUCGCCAUUUAAAGUGGUACGCGAGCUGGGUUUAGAACGUCGUGAGACAGUUCGGUCCCUAUCUGCCGUGGGCGCUGGAGAACUGAGGGGGGCUGCUCCUAGUACGAGAGGACCGGAGUGGACGCAUCACUGGUGUUCGGGUUGUCAUGCCAAUGGCACU
rnacentral:rRNA from 1 species